AGGCAACAGACACAACACAAUCUCAUUUUUUGUUAAUGGUAAGGUGGGGAAGACUUUAUUGAUGCACGUCACUCAGCCUUUAGCUUGUACAAGACUCGAUAAAAAGUGCGACACCUGAAAGUAAAACUGGACAGUGGUCCACAGAUAAAAAUUCAACGCCAAGUGCCAUCAACACUCGCGACUGCUGGAAUGUGACAUUUGGAUGAAUCCCAAGCCAAACUGCUACUUGAGUGUUUCAUUUUGAUCUUUACACACGAACAGACAAAAAAAAUUUUUUUAAGAGGUAGGUAGUACAUAAAUGUUAAAAAAAAAAAAAUCGCACAGGACACAGAACAUGGCAAAAUUGGGACAGACUGGCAUUCUGGGAUAUGGAUCUCGCUUUGUAACCUCUGUAUAUAGUAAGUAUAUAUCUAUAUCUCUUCUCGCUAACAUGUCUCUGUUAACAUUAACGUUAAAGUGCUGUUAACACUUGGAUAAACAUGCCAAACAUGUGCUGUUUGCAAAACACUUCUUUUGACAAACAACAGUCGACGUGAACAACUCUGUUCAGUUUCGAGCCCAACAAUCACAAAGCCUUCCGCCCAGCUUCUUUUAAAACGUGAUGCAUCAUCCAUAAACAAGCUCUAAGGCACUUUUGUCGCACAGUUAACAGGCUUCGCUGGACACUUGUCACUCUGGACAGGACAAUGUCAACAGAAGUGCUGCUACGUGCAACUGCCGCCAGUAACCGUCAGAAACAUGCGUUUUUUUUUUAACCUCUGCAACAUGCGCAGCUCCCAACAUUAGUGCUUGAAGCACGAACACAUCUAUGCUGUGUUAUGCAAAUGCAUCACUUCCAACACACAAAAUGUUGCGGUGAAUGAACUGCGACAGUAGAGUGCGAUCUCCAGAGGAGACUGACGCAGGAAACCAUCAUACAAACCUAAGGAAGCAGUACAUAAGCAAUCAUUUCAGUAUGCUGGGAAAGGACAACCGUAGCUCUGACAGAGCAAUAGACUGCCACCUCAAUAAUGGCAUGCUGGACAAAGUUUCUCUCUCUCUCUCUCUCACUAAAGAAAAGGUUACUCAGUGGCACAAAUCGGCAUGCAAUCAUUUGUUCGGUGCCAGUAACUGCCAACAAGAAGCGCCUCUCUGGUUACGGAGCUCCAGAAGUUGUUUUCUCAGUACUACUGCCACAGACAGACAACUCCAAAUAGCUGACGUCUGACAAAAAAAAAAAAGUGUUUAAAAGUAGUCUUCUAUGUACACAAGUGGAUAUCUGGAAGAACUUGACUCUUAUUAUCAAACGGGACGGAGAAGGGAAAAAGACAACUCUAAACAUCUUAAUCUAGAACAACUGACAGCCCGUCAAAAUUUGGUAAGAACUCCACUCUUCUAACAAUGACAACAACACAACAGAAUUUAGUGAAGGGUUGCUGUUUAAGUCCACUGUCAAACUCGCAACAUAAUCCUUCCACCAGGGACCAGAGCACGAAACAAGACGAUGUUGCCAUAACAAAAAGGGAAGUGCAAGUUAAAAACAGCAGCACUUCACCUCAAUAAUGGAAUGUUUAAAUCACGGUCCUUCACCAACAAUGCAUGGAACAAACUGCAGUGUCUUAACAAUGCACCUGAUGUCACGACACAAAAACAGCUCCAGUGUAUUGUUUUUCCACAGAUAAUGGAUAAGCAACCUUUUGACCCAAAUGUAUAAGCAUUAGGUCUUCAAGAUGGGAAUGGGAUAGCACAGUGGGAAUGCAUUCUUAAGAAUGUGUGCACGUGUAAAGCAUUCAGAUAGGAAAGGAGGAAGGAAGUGUCCUGCAUAACAGGAGGAACCUAACGAUGCUGAACCACAAGAUAGUUCAAGUGGCAAGCAAGAAAGCAAGUGCGAGAAAACCAAAACAGCACAGCUGCUAUGCUGUAAGUGCUCUUACACCUUCAUCAAAGGCUGACAAACAUGCCAGAAACAAUGUACAUCACCAGAAAAAACACCACACACGAGCAUUCAACAAGCAACAAACUGCUUCAUGAACUUUCAGACAAGCUACUAUGUUUUGUUUUGUAAAGCACACGAGUUUAGCUAGCCACAAGUCUUGUGUCAUAUAUUUUGAUUCUCGUUUCUCUAUAAAGGCCCAAGAUUACAUGAAAAACAUGCACUAGCCAGCCUCAACACACUAAACAGCUGCAAGUGCUAAGUGCAGACACACAGAGAAAAGUGCACCAUUUCAGGUGGCCCAAUUCUAAGUGGCCCAAUUCUAAACUACUUAUAAUGCAAACACUACAAAAUGGUAAAAGCACUUCAAAUGUCCAUCUAUGUAUGGCAUCAUCAUGGCAGUAUACAUGAAAAGCCAAACAUGUGGCUUUGGUAAUUUGGAAAUGCAAACUCUGUUAUCACAACACUGUUUUGAUCCUUAGUGGCUCUGAAUAAAUGCAGCUUGUAGGGCACUGCGCCUGCACGGAUGUCUUGUGGCUUUGUCCUAAAUGCUGCUGCACACACAGCUCGCUGUGUUAGUACUAGCAACAAGCCACUUCAAUGUCAUAACGACAGCUACUCACUUUGAUUCCAGCUCUCUUGACAAGGAGAAGGGCAUUAACACAUUAAAAGCUCUCCUCUACUGGAAUACCUAAAAAGGUACAUAUGAAACUUGAGCACGUAUGAACGUUUGAGGGCAAUAAGUGCCGUCUCUCUUGUAGCCGUUGCGGCUGCAAUGUUUCCACAACCAUACUGAAGCUAAGCAUACGGAAGAUGUCCACUAUGAUGCCUGCACAACUGUUAUGCCGAACUGAUAGUGUCUACAGUUGAACCCCUAUAUAUAAUAUAUUAUCGAAUAUAACAAAGUAAAUGUAAAGUUAGAGAAUUUUUUUUCAUUGUGAAUAUUAUUGGUUAAUCUUGCAAUGAACAACAGAUAUAACAAAAGUAUUUUCCUGUCAGUGAGUGUGCUUAUUACGUGCAGUAGCAGUGAGGUGCUUUGUAUAUAGAAGUGACAGCUAGUCACUGCUCGUACGCUUAAAUUUGCCACAAAGCAGCAAAAGCAAACCUUAGGCUGGAUGCACUAUGCUUCUCUAGCCAGCAUGACUCUGCAUCACAGUAUUCGUCGUUUUGUUAUCACGGCAAUUGCCAUUAGAGGCGGUGGAUGCCCACAAGCACUGGCCAAUCAGAAAGUGGCCAUCCAUAUUGUAAAUAUUGUGAAUUUGGGUCCAGAAACUUAACAAGACCGAUAGAGAAUGAUAAAAGUCAAAUGCAUAAGAUUUGGUCCGUUGAAUGACAAGACAAAAUCUUUUCAAGGUGGUUGAUAGUUGCAGGUUCUUUGGAAAUCAGUCACACUCAUGCUGUUGGAAUUAUCUAUAGAUCCAUGAAAUCUACUAGUACAUAAUGUGUUUUUUGCUGCAGACAGAUGAAGUAAGAGAUAGCCUAUCUAACUCUAAAAAACCACCUAGUUCUUACUGUUGUGGCAUUUUGACUCAAAUCUUUCUCUUGGUUCAGAUGAACUUGGUAAGUAAAAGUUUACAUAGCUAUAGCACACACUGGAAGAGCUAGCAUCUGCUAUUAGUGCCUCACACUUGUGGCAAUGAUAUAUCAGCUUCUUCAGACACACCACUAUGUAUAAAUAACACCCAACUACACAUUGCUAUCAGUUGAAGUUCGGCACAGCAAUUGUACAAGCACUGGAGAGGCUCUAGACACACAGCACAGAUGCAACAUUGCGUAGGUCUUUUAGCUGCAACACACUAGGCAAGCUGAACAACACAGACAAGAAACCAGUGCCAAGUCGGGGUGUACUUCAAGCAGCGUCACCUAC
rnacentral:lncRNA from 1 species